rnacentral:lncRNA from 1 species
GGUUUGGCAUUUCCCCUUUUCUGAUUGGCUGCCUCCCCAGGGCCUGGGCCUCAGUGCUGGUGGCCCUCUGGGGGUCGGGAGCGCAUAAAUAGUUCCUGCUGGGGAAACUGGGAAACUGGUCUCAGACAAGAGGAACAGACAUCUCUGCCACGCACUGCUGCCUGGAGCUGCAUGAGGUCCCAGUGCUGCCAGCGUGUCUUCUGUGUAUAGCCCCAUGCACCUCUGCCUCAGCCACAGCCCUUCCCCGCAGCAGCUCCCGCGGCCUGGCCUGGUAGAGCUGCAGUCCCAGGCCUCCUUCUACUCCUUCCUGGUACGACUGCAUGAACCCCAGAGACCCAAGAAGCGAGUAGUGUUUGCAGACACGAAGGGGAUCUCGUUGACAUCCGUGUACAAGUUUGAAGAUGCUGUGGGCAGACACGUGUCCCAUGUUCAGUUUCCUGCGCCCUGAGCCACCUGGCUGGCCAGAGCCACCACCUACGCUCUGGGCUUCCCCGCACCCAGGCAGGGUUCGGGGGUUCCAGAGGCGCCUGCAGGUGCAGAGUGUGCGCCCGGAGCAGCGUGCUGGGCAGGGGGCUUCCUGCGAGGCGCUGUCUAGCAGGCAGGCUGGGUUCCAGAAGGCAAGGCAGAUGCGCAUCACCUUUGAUGUCAGGGCUCCUUCCAAGAAGUGCCUAGUGUUCACACGGCCAGUCCUUGCAGAAGCGAGACUGACAGCUUCGCCUUCCAAGCCAUGUUGCCACUAGGUCCCCCAGGCCGGUGGGCACCAUUCAGUUCUGCUUCUGUUGUUGGGGAAAACAAUCAAGGGCAAACCUGUUGUUUGGUGCCCAGUUCUCAGUCACGCUCAUCACAAUGGCCUGCCCCAGCUGAUUCAAUCUGUAAAACAACCAGGUGGUUAACAGCGUAAAGCUAGAAGCAGCCAAACACACCGGCUUCCAGGGCCGCUCUGAACACAGCUGCAGCUUCCUCAUCUGAUAAGGAACGCUUUCAUAACUGCACCUGUUUCCUCCUGCUCCCUCUCCAGCCUUCUAGCCCUGCCUCCAUUAAGGGAUGAUCAGGAAUAGGGCAAACAUCUAAUUACCAAACAUCUGCUCUUCUUAUCAUCCUGUGAAUGACUCUCCUCCUCACUGAAGCCCCAGGCCCCCAUCCCAUUCCUUGGCUCAAGAUAGCAGAUACACCUCAUUUUACCUUUCUGUCUUCGAACCUCUCAUGUAUGUGGGGUUCCCAUAUGUACAAAAUUCAAUGUUUUUCUGUUAAUCUGUCUCAUGUCAACUUGAUUAUUAGACUAGCUGAAAGAACAUUUGAACAGUAGACAGAAAUUCUUUCUCCCCAAAAUGUACAACCACAGAGAUAGCUAACCAGAUUGAAAAAAGAUGCUGUUCAUUAGUCAUCUUUGAAUUUCACUUUGGUGUUUCAUUGACCGACCACAUUGCCUGUAGUGCACUUUGAUUUAAUAUUUGAUAUUUUUAUAAACCU